CUGUUGUCUUUGCUGCAUGUAGUUGAUCCUUUAACCAUGAGGUUGCAGUUCGGACUACCAUUGAUGGACGACAUAGAAGUAGAAAUAAAUGUCUUGAAGUGUGUCCCAAUCGAAGGGAUUUCGUACAUCCCUUCUGCGCAUUAGAUCACAAACGAAAAUUCUGGUUUACAAUACCAUCAAAUUGUACAUACGAUCUUGUUAAAUGUUUGAGAAUGAAGGCGAACUUACCCCCUUAUAAAGCGCCGGACAUUGUGGACGGUGAGUGUGAUAAGGUUAAGAAAGAACCACGGUGCGAAACCAUUGCGAUAAAAGAAAAGGAAGAAGGCAUCAGAACCGAAUGAAAAAUCAAC